rnacentral:lncRNA from 1 species
ACAAAUCCAUCAUUACUACAUACAAAUAAACAUCCAUAAUUCCAUAAGGCAAAAGGCAAGUUCUAAGGGAUAAACAAGGAAAGAAAGAAAAAAAAUAUUUCCAAGAACAGCCAAUGAGAAAUAAUGUUACAGACCAAAAGCAAACAAGGCAAAGUUAAACCACCCUUCUUAAGACAAACAGCACCAGACAAUUUCUAUUUAUCGAAUCAGCUCACAGAAAAUGGUCGAUGUGUAUCACUUCAUGUCUCUCUUUGUCUAGAUCAAUUUAUUAAUUUGCCAUUGCACUUCUGAUAUCUAGGAAAAUCCAUUGGCUCAAAAGACACCAUCAGCUUCAACUCUGAAAUUAUGCAUGGUUGACUAUACAAGUUGUUUUAACCUCCAAACAUGGAAAAAUUUCUCAAGCCUGCAAGUACGCAUAUAACAUCUCAAGAAUGGAAUGAUAAACAAACUCUGCGAAAAAUAAAAUAAAAUACUACAUGUAAAAAAAAAUAAAAAAAAAAUUAAACUGAACACAAUAACUUACAGCAACAUUUAGUAAUCUAAUUCAUGGAUACAAAGAAAACAUUGACUUGAUUUGCUUUCUCUUAUGAGCUUUAGUAUUAUUAAACUGCAGCAUCCUAUCAAGUGCCUACAAGAAUCGGAAGAUAUUUUCUGAAACCCCAUAUUUUUAGAAUAAAUAAAGAGAAAACAAUAUCAGCAAAAUUGUUAAAACAUUAGUCAAAUUGUUGAGAAUAUAAAAUCUCACAUCCAUUAUUCUAAGCCUUGCAUUGCAGUAUAUAAAAUUAUGAACCUCUUCAUCCAUUAUCACCAUAGUACUAGACUUCACUAACAAAUAAUGCAUAACAAGUGGAUGCCGCAACAGGUAAAUGUCUCAUUAAAUAGAACUUUGUAGCUAAAGGAAUAAUUAAUUACAUGAUACAUAUGCAAUAAACAAAGGAGCUGGAAAUUAAAUGAAACCAUGAUGGGCAAAUCUAUUUCUUCAAUCACAGAAGCAUUUAAUGGGUAAAUUGAACAAACAACAUAUAGGUUCAUGGGCUGAGGUAGAAUUUCUUCAUUCAUCGUUAGCAACCUUAGUCCUUAAGAAGAAGAAAUACAUUAAUCCCUAACCCUCCUCUUCCUCAAAUUUCUUUCCUUCCAUGCCUUGAAUUCUAUCCCUAUUCAUGCACCCAUGACAUGAUCAGUCAAAGAGCAGUAUCAACAAGCUACAAAAACAAGUCUCCUCAUCACCCAUUCGAACCAUGCUCAAAUGACACCCAAAAACAGAGUGAUGUUAAAACAAUUCCUUCUGAGCCACAAAACAUGACGAAGAAGUAACCAGGCUAGAUCACGGGCAAAAAGUACUUCAUAAUGAGAGCAGCAGAGUCACUGCUCUGUCGAAGAACUCUAUGCUAAAAAACCAUCAUAUGAUGACAGUCAAAGUGAGGAUUUGCAAGGUUUGUCAUGUCAUGCAAUAAUACCAGUCCAUCGAACACAUCUACCUAGUGAAUAAAAAAAAUAUACAUUCCAACCUCAAAUAUGAAUGGAAUUGAUUUCGUUUAGAUUUGAAACUCUGCACCAUCUUACAAAGUAAACAACCUAUAUUUUCACAUAAGAGGACUAGUUAACAUCUAACAAAAUUUAAGACCCUGUUGCACCACAUAUGCACUUGUUUAUUUGAAUUGAACCUAGAAAGAAACCUCUCCUAUAAUUUUUUAGCAACACCUAUAAUACCCAAUUAACACACAAAUCAAUACCACAAAUCAAUCUGUCGAAGAAAAUCAUGAAGAAAGUGCACACACAACCCAAUUGUAUAGUGCCAUCUGCUCUGUACUCCUUUUCAUCAAUUCAUGAUUUUGUGCAAUGAAAUGCAAAGAAGUAAGAACCCCUUGAACAUCAUCCAUGGCCUGCAUUUGAAGUUUUUAUGCCAUUUGAAAUACCCAUUUAUUUACUUUAACACUAACCAAAAUCAUAGAUAUGAAACCAAUCUCAAAACCAUAUCAGAUGACCCAAAACAAAAACCUAUCACCCAAUCCUUAGCUAGCAGGAAUAAAAUACCCAUUUAUUUACUUUAACACUAACCAAAAUCAUAGAUAUGAAACUAAUCUCAAAACCAUAUCAGAUGACCCAAAAUAAAAACCCAUCACCCAAUCCUUACCUAAAAUCACAAUCAAAAUAAAGAAAAACAAAUUAGGGUAAUCUGAGCCCAGAUCAGAUAUCUCAUCAAUUCCAAACCCUAGACUCUAGAGAAACUCCUAAACCAAUUUCAUACAAACCCAUAAACCAUAAACCAAUUUCAGAGCAACCUCUAAACCCUAAAACCCUAAACCAAUUUGGAAGAAACCCCUAAACCAAUUUCAUACAAAUCCAUACACCAUAAACCAAAUUCACAAAAACCUCAAAUUUCUAAGAAAAGAAAGAUGAACAGUACCUCGUGGAUGUGAACCGUGGAGUUAAUCUUGGAUGGCUGGGGGAGGAAGAUGAC